AACAAACGCUGGCGGCGUGCCUAAUACAUGCAAGUCGAACGGGGAAAGCUUUCGGGUGAGUACUAGUGGCGCACGGGUGAGUAACGCGUGGAUAAUCUGCCCUCGAAUGGGGAAUAACUAGUCGAAAGAUUAGCUAAUACCGCAUAAGACCACGACUACUGAGGUAGUUGGGGUCAAAGGAGCAAUUCGUUUGAGGAUGAGUCCGCGUAAGAUUAGCUAGUUGGUGAGGUAAUGGCUCACCAAGGCGAUGAUCUUUAACUGGUCUGAGAGGAUGAUCAGUCACACUGGAACUGAGACACGGUCCAGACUCCUACGGGAGGCAGCAGUAGGGAAUAUUGGACAAUGGGGGCAACCCUGAUCCAGCGACGCCGCGUGAGCGAUGAAGGCCUUCGGGUCGUAAAGCUCUGUUGUAAGGGAAAAAGUUCUGAUUGUACCUUACGAGAAAGGAUCGGCUAACUUCGUGCCAGCAGCCGCCGUAAAAC
rnacentral:rRNA from 1 species